rnacentral:rRNA from 1 species
AACGAACGCUGGCGGCAUGCCUAACACAUGCAAGUCGAACGAGAUCUUCGGGUCUAGUGGCGCACGGGUGCGUAACGCGUGGGAAUCUGCCCUUUGGUUCGGAAUAACAGUUGGAAACGACUGCUAAUGCCGGAUGAUGACGAAAGUCCAAAGAUUUAUCGCCAGAGGAUGAGCCCGCGUAGGAUUAGCUAGUUGGUGUGGUAAAGGCGCACCAAGGCGACGAUCCUUAGCUGGUCUGAGAGGAUGAUCAGCCACACUGGGACUGAGACACGGCCCAGACUCCUACGGGAGGCAGCAGUGGGGAAUAUUGGACAAUGGGCGAAAGCCUGAUCCAGCGAUGCCGCGUGAGUGAUGAAGGCCUUAGGGUUGUAAAGCUCUUUUACCCGGGAUGAUAAUGACAGUACCGGGAGAAUAAGCUCCGGCUAACUCCGUGCCAGCCGCCGCAGUAA